AGUGAAUCCCCUCUCCUGCUUAAGUCCUUCCCACAGAGAGCGGUUUGAUAUGUCACUGAAACCAGCAUCCAGGUGGUAUUGCUCCAUAUGCCUGAGACCCUAACAAAAGCCUAAUUACAACUCAUAUGCCUGGAGCCAGGACAUGUGCAGGAUGCCAUGAUGGUCCAAGUUAUAUUGGGAUUCAGCCAAUAGAAGAUAUUUUGCCUGUCAUCCCUAAGCUUAGGACAAUAGGGUCCUGCCCACAAGAAAGAUUGUGACAUCUCACUGGACAAGCACCCACCCAGACUCUGCCAAGAGAGGGGAUUAUUACAUAUUGCAGAGCCCAGCACCUAGGUGGAGUGACUCUCAUCUUUUUCUUCUACCCCGUAUAUAGCCAGCUUGGUGACCUACUAUUUGAGUCUAUACCCAGGCCCAGACCACAGAUGAAAUUGUGCAAUAUGUGGAACAAACACCUAAACAAUAUAUAACACCUUCCUUGGCUCUGUCUACAAAGGGCACUUUUAUAUAUCACUGGGACCAUCAACCAGGUGAUGUUAAUUAUCUUCCUGAAACCUGUCUACAAAGAGAGUUGUGUCGUAUACCUAGGCCCGUCAUGUAAGUGAUGUCAGUCCCUUCUACUGCCUUGGCCCUGCACUUACAGUGCAUUGUGACACAUAACAAGGUACUGCACACAGACGAUGUGAUUCUCCUUUUUGGGUUCUGCCAAAAGGAAGCAUUGUAAUAAAUCGCUUGGCUCAGUACCAAGGUGAUGUUUCUUUGCUUUUGCCUGGGCCCUGAUAACAGGGAGAUUGUGAUCUAUUGCUGGGCCCAACAAAAAUGUGAGGUCACUCUCCAGCCGUGGUACUUCACAUAAGCGCCAUUGUGACAUGUAUCUAGGCCAAUUGCCUAGGUGAAGUGAGUUUCCUCUCUUGCCAAAGUCCUGCCCACAGAGGGGGUUUUGAUAUGUCACUGAAAUCAGCAUUCAGGUGAUGUGACUCUUCUGCCAGGGUCCUGCGUACUAGGUGGAUUGUGACAUCUCACUGGACCCGCAACCAUGUAGGUCAUGUGACUUUCAUGCCUUCUCACUGGCCACAGGUGAUGUUGUGCCAUAUAACUGAGACCGUAUCAAAAGCCUAAUAACAAGACGUAUGUCUGGAGCCCCGAUAUGCACAGGAUGGUGAGUCUUAUCGUUCAACUUUUCCACAAGUGUAAUUGUGACAUAUACCUCUGCCCAGCUCCUGAAUUAAUUAUUCUGCCUAGGUAUCGCCCACAAAUGAGAAUUUGACAAAUAACAGAGCCAAGCACCUUGAUGAUUUGACCGCGUUAUCUUAACAAUGUCCUCUGGAGGGAUUGUAACAUAUUUCUGGACCCAUUUUCUAGGUUACAUGACUCUCCCCUCCUGCCUGUGCCCUGAUUCCUUGGUAACUACAGCAUUUCUGAGCACUGCAUCCAAAUGAUAUGACUGUCUUGCCUGGGCCCUGUCAACAGGAGGCAUUGUGACAUAUUUUGGGGCCCAUCAUUUAGGGGAUAAGACUCUCCUCUCCUGCUUGGACACUGCCCACAAGGGACAUUGUGCCACAGCGCUGGACCUAGCACACAAGUUAUGUGACGUUUCUGACAGGUCUGCCUAAAAAGAGGAUUUUGGAAUAUUUCUGGCCCAGCAUUUAGGUGAUGUGGCUGUCCUGCCUGCUUCAUAACCACAGAGGGGAUUGUAACAUAUGCCUAGGCACAGCUCACAGGCAUGAUAAUGACUCUUAUAUAUGGAUUCAGCCAAUAGAGGAUAUUUUGACUUUUAUAACCAGAUUUACAUACAUGCAUGAUGUCUUGGAUCACAUUCCUG
rnacentral:lncRNA from 10 species